rnacentral:misc_RNA from 1 species
CAUCAGCGUCAGACCGACGCCGAUUCUGCGACAGUGUAGCGGCUGGCGCGUUGCCUUGGUUGUGGGAGGGAAUCCUCGCGGAGGAAGAUGUGUAGCCGUGCGAUGUGACCGAGGCGCGGACGCAAUUUCUAGCGGGGGGGCACUUUAGUCGCUAUUCUGCUCAUUAUGUUUGACGUGAUGUUUGACGUGAAGCUCAUGACAGCUCUGCGAUAUCGGCUCGCACUGAAGGUCGACGUCGUCGCUUUGCUGGGCGAAUUAGUCAUCGCCUUAGCACUGGCUGGUUGUGCGUCGGCCGACGACAAGCUGACCAACGCAAAGCCAGAUGAAGUGCUGACAGGCAUCCGGACAUUCUUCGAGAAGACGGCCGUACCCGAUGGUUCGUUCCGC